CCCACACCCAUGUGUCUAGGACCUCAAAGGAUCACCAUUAAAUUUAGCACAGAUCUCUAGAAAAGUUAUCACAUGGGUAUGAAACUUGACUUUUCUAGAUAUCUGUGUCAAAUUUAAUGGUGAUUCUUUGGGGUCCUACACACACAUGGGUGUGGG
rnacentral:pre_miRNA from 1 species